rnacentral:misc_RNA from 1 species
GAAAUGUGAUAAGUAAUGUGAAUUGCAGAAUUCAGUGAAUCAUCGAAUCUUUGAACGCACCUUGCGCUCCUUGGUAUUCCGAGGAGCAUGUCUGUUUGAGUGUCAUGAACUCUUCAACCCACCAGUUUCUUGUAGACUGAUUGGUGUUUGGAUUUUGAGCGUUGCUGGUCUUCUGAUCUAGCUCGCUCGUAAUAUAUUAGCAUCUCUAAUUCAAAUUUGGAUUGACUCAGUGUAAUAGACUAUUCGCUGAGGACACGCUUAUGAAGUGUGGCCGAAUUAGAUCACAGCAGAAGCUUCGAAUUCAUGUUGGUCAACUUUAGAUUAGACCUCAGAUCAGGCAGGAUUACCCGCUGAACUUAA